rnacentral:rRNA from 1 species
GACGAACGCUGGCGGCGUGCUUAGCACAUGCAAGUCGAACGGAAAGGCCCUGCUUUUGUGGGGUGCUCGAGUGGCGAACGGGUGAGUAACACGUGAGUAACCUGCCCUUGACUUUGGGAUAACUUCAGGAAACUGGGGCUAAUACCGGAUAGGAGCUCCUGCUGCAUGGUGGGGGUUGGAAAGUUUCGGCGGUUGGGGAUGGACUCGCGGCUUAUCAGCUUGUUGGUGGGGUAGUGGCUUACCAAGGCUUUGACGGGUAGCCGGCCUGAGAGGGUGACCGGCCACAUUGGGACUGAGAUACGGCCCAGACUCCUACGGGAGGCAGCAGUGGGGAAUAUUGCACAAUGGGCGGAAGCCUGAUGCAGCAACGCCGCGUGCGGGAUGACGGCCUUCGGGUUGUAAACCGCUUUCGCCUGUGACGAAGCGUGAGUGACGGUAAUGGGUAAAGAAGCACCGGCUAACCACGUG